UGGGGUGUAGCUCUGCAGUAGAGCACUUGCCUGGCACACAAGAAGCCUGGGUUUGGUGCCCGGCACAGCAG
rnacentral:tRNA from 1 species